rnacentral:lncRNA from 1 species
UACUUUACAAAAUAGUAUAACUUGAUUUUUGAAAAAUGAACAGUGCUUAUACUAAUUAAGGCAGGUUUAUGUUCACAUGUCAUCUUCCAAAUAGGUUAACAAUGGGUUCUAUAAACAUAUGUGUAUCUAAUUUCAGGAUGACAGGGAAUAGACAGAUUAAGAGAGAACAUACAUUGGGUGUGCCAAAAAUACAACAGGGUGGACCUAUGGCAGUCUAGUUUGGUAUAUCUUGUGUGAACCAGACACAGAAGUAAAUUUCUAGAGUGCCCUGCAGGCAUCUUUCAGACAUAAAACAUGGGCAAGCAGGAUCAGCCUGGAUUAAUUAUGUCAUCAGUAUAAUAGAAACAGAUAAUUAUUGACUUUCUUAGUAACACGGAUGUUAAUUUGCAUUCAGUUUUGUAGUCAGUCUAGAUAUAAUUAUUCUAGAUACAAUGAUGUUGACAUUUGGUUUUUUUAUUGAAUAGGUUGUUCGGUUGAGAGUAGCACACUUGGAAUUGAAUUCAGGUCUUUAAUUGAAGUUAGAAAAGACUUUAUUGAGGAUCAAAAUAAAAGACUCAGGAAUUCUCUUUUCUUUCUUUUUUUUUUUUAAGCCUCUUCAUUGCUGUACAGACCCACGAAUUUUAAAUGUCUUUCUCAGGGCUAUUUUGGAGAAAGAGCUCACAAGAUAACUCAAGCUGUCAUCCUCUUUUAGUAGAUCCACCCACAGACUCUACACCCCUAGUAGCAUUGCCAUGCUUUCAAGAAAACCUUCAGUAUCUGUACCAAUCUCACUGGGAAGAUAGUUAAUAAGAAAUUAAAGAAUGAUUCUGAAUUACCCACCUGAACUAAUGAAAUGUAGACAUGGACAGCACACUCAAGAUAUUCAGGAACAUGGAUGAAUCUGGGAACCAUCAUUCUCAGCAAACUGACACAAGAACAGAAAACCAAACAUCGUAUGUUAUCACUCCUAGCAUUAAAGUUCCAUUUUAUGAAAAACGAGAAUGAUAUUGUGGAGAAUAACCUAAAGGACAUGCCAUUCAUCCAUUCUUCUUUUCUACCUUCCAAGAAUUUAGAGAUGGGAUCUCCUAUGUUGCCCAGCUGGAGUACAGUGGCUAUUCACAGGCCAGAUCAUAGCACUCUGUUGCCUUGA